rnacentral:rRNA from 1 species
ACAUGCGGGUGCUACCAUGCAGUCGAACGGUGAAGCCAAGCUUGCUUGGUGGAUCAGUGGCGAACGGGUGAGUAACACGUGAGCAACCUGCCCUGGACUCUGGGAUAAGCGCUGGAAACGGCGUCUAAUACUGGAUAUGAGCUCCUUCCGCAUGGUGGGGGUUGGAAAGAUUUUUCGGUCUGGGAUGGGCUCGCGGCCUAUCAGCUUGUUGGUGAGGUAAUGGCUCACCAAGGCGUCGACGGGUAGCCGGCCUGAGAGGGUGACCGGCCACACUGGGACUGAGACACGGCCCAGACUCCUACGGGAGGCAGCAGUGGGGAAUAUUGCACAAUGGGCGGAAGCCUGAUGCAGCAACGCCGCGUGAGGGAUGACGGCCUUCGGGUUGUAAACCUCUUUUAGCAGGGAAGAAGCGAAAGUGACGGUACCUGCAGAAAAAGCGCCGGCUAACUACGUGCCAGCAGCCGCGGUAAUACGUAGGGCGCAAGCGUUAUCCGGAAUUAUUGGGCGUAAAGAGCUCGUAGGCGGUUUGUCGCGUCUGCUGUGAAAUCCCGAGGCUCAACCUCGGGCCUGCAGUGGGUACGGGCAGACUAGAGUGCGGUAGGGGAGAUUGGAAUUCCUGGUGUAGCGGUGGAAUGCGCAGAUAUCAGGAGGAACACCGAUGGCGAAGGCAGAUCUCUGGGCCGUAACUGACGCUGAGGAGCGAAAGGGUGGGGAGCAAACAGGCUUAGAUACCCUGGUAGUCCACCCCGUAAACGUUGGGAACUAGUUGUGGGGACCAUUCCACGGUUUCCGUGACGCAGCUAACGCAUUAAGUUCCCCGCCUGGGGAGUACGGCCGCAAGGCUAAAACUCAAAGGAAUUGACGGGGACCCGCACAAGCGGCGGAGCAUGCGGAUUAAUUCGAUGCAACGCGAAGAACCUUACCAAGGCUUGACAUAUACGAGAACGGGCCAGAAAUGGUCAACUCUUUGGACACUCGUAAACAGGUGGUGCAUGGUUGUCGUCAGCUCGUGUCGUGAGAUGUUGGGUUAAGUCCCGCAACGAGCGCAACCCUCGUUCUAUGUUGCCAGCACGUAAUGGUGGGAACUCAUGGGAUACUGCCGGGGUCAACUCGGAGGAAGGUGGGGAUGACGUCAAAUCAUCAUGCCCCUUAUGUCUUGGGCUUCACGCAUGCUACAAUGGCCGGUACAAAGGGCUGCAAUACCGUAAGGUGGAGCGAAUCCCAAAAAGCCGGUCCCAGUUCGGAUUGAGGUCUGCAACUCGACCUCAUGAAGUCGGAGUCGCUAGUAAUCGCAGAUCAGCAACGCUGCGGUGAAUACGUUCCCGGGUCUUGUACACACCGCCCGUCAAGUCAUGAAAGUCGGUAACACCUGAAGCCGGUGGCCCAACCCUUGUGGAGGGAGCCGUCGAAGGUGGGAUCGGUAAUUAGGACUAAGUCGUAGCAAGAGCAUUAAGG